UACGUAGGGUGCAAGCGUUGUCCGGAAUUAUUGGGCGUAAAGAGCUCGUAGGCGGUCUGUCGCGUCUGCUGUGAAAACUCGGGGCUUAACCCCGGGCCUGCAGUGGGUACGGGCAGACUAGAGUGCGGUAGGGGAGACUGGAAUUCCUGGUGUAGCGGUGAAAUGCGCAGAUACCAGGAGGAACACCGAUGGCGAAGGCAGGUCUCUGGGCAUUAACUGACGCUGAGGAGCGAAAGCAUGGGGAGCGAACAGG
rnacentral:rRNA from 1 species